rnacentral:rRNA from 1 species
GUGGCGGGGCGGAGCUACCAUGCAAGUCGAGCGGUAACAGAUCCAGCUUGCUGGAUGCUGACGAGCGGCGGACGGGUGAGUAAUGCAUAGGAAUCUGCCCGAUAGUGGGGGAUAACCUGGGGAAACCCAGGCUAAUACCGCAUACGUCCUACGGGAGAAAGGGGGCUUCGGCUCCCGCUAUCGGAUGAGCCUAUGUCGGAUUAGCUAGUUGGUGAGGUAACGGCUCACCAAGGCCACGAUCCGUAGCUGGUCUGAGAGGAUGAUCAGCCACAUCGGGACUGAGACACGGCCCGAACUCCUACGGGAGGCAGCAGUGGGGAAUAUUGGACAAUGGGGGGAACCCUGAUCCAGCCAUGCCGCGUGUGUGAAGAAGGCCCUCGGGUUGUAAAGCACUUUCAGCGAGGAAGAACGCCUAGCGGUUAAUACCCGCUAGGAAAGACAUCACUCGCAGAAGAAGCACCGGCUAACUCCGUGCCAGCAGCCGCGGUAAUACGGAGGGUGCAAGCGUUAAUCGGAAUUACUGGGCGUAAAGCGCGCGUAGGUGGCUUGAUAAGCCGGUUGUGAAAGCCCCGGGCUCAACCUGGGAACGGCAUCCGGAACUGUCAAGCUAGAGUGCAGGAGAGGAAGGUAGAAUUCCCGGUGUAGCGGUGAAAUGCGUAGAGAUCGGGAGGAAUACCAGUGGCGAAGGCGGCCUUCUGGACUGACACUGACACUGAGGUGCGAAAGCGUGGGUAGCAAACAGGAUUAGAUACCCGUGUUAGUC